ensembl:lncRNA
AAGCACAGUUACUGUAACGUCAGCCUACAUCUGGUUGGCUAGCUAGCCAGUGGGCAACUGUAGCCUACAACUGUAGCCUACUUAUUGCACAACUGCAUUCGGUUCAUUCAGUCUUUUCCAUCCAGCUAACGUUAGUGGUUAUGAAUGGAAAACAGUAUGUGUGUUAUUCCAUAUAACUGUUGUGUGUAAAGUACAGAGGGAUAGUACAUCACCAUCAUGGUCCAUCUACGUCUCUAUUUUCAAAGGUGUAUCUAAUUUUUGUUUGACAAGUAUUGGUCGCUUCUUGUCAACCUUUCAUCACAUAUCCAAUCAGAGAUUAAAUUAUAUCGACUGCAGAACACUCAGUGCACUUGCAGCUUGUGUCAACCUAGAAACUCUACCAGACGUUCCUCGAUGCCCCUCAAACCUCACAUCAAGGAAAUAAUCGAACUCUUCAUUUCCUGUUAUUUUUAGAAUGACAUUCCCGAAUAUUUAGUAUUACCAAAUGUACUGAACUAUACUGUAGUGCCCUCUACUGACUUCUACACAACCUCAAUCUCAGUGUAGUAAUCAUUCAUUUGAUAGUUACUUUGAUAAUUGGACAAAAAAUAGCCAUCAAUCUUGAUGUAUUUCUGACAAUACUGCUUCUCCGUCAUGCUUUUUUCAGCAACAUGUUUUAACAACCAUCCUCUUUGCCACAUCUAUCGAAUUAUGGCCCGUCAUUGAACUCCUAAAAUAAUCUCCAAUUCAUCAGGGACUAAGGAUUAUUUCUCAGAGACGAGACCAUAACAUAAAAUAUACUUUAUAGUUAUUAAUAUUGCUUUUAUUAUUAUAAUUGUUUUUGUUAUGAAACAUCCUUGUUUGACAUCAUGUUGUCAUUAUGAUUGUAUAAAAUACUGUUCUUGCCGGAGCCGACCACGAAGAGCGAAUGUCUCUUUGAGUGAGAGAUUGAUCGACUACCCCUUGAAAUAGCGGUUAGAGACGUGGACAAGUAGGUCCCACGUUCUCGUCACAGUCUAACUAAUUACGCCUUAGGAUUUGUUCCGGAUAUAAACACACUUCGCUCGAUACAACCUUCAGCAACGUUAUAAGAAAGCCUAAAAUAAACUGUUUAUGGUUAUAUUGCGACUAUUUCUGGUGGAUUCUUUUUAGGGUAAUAGGCUAGAUCAAAGCCACUUGGGCAGUAAGAGUAUGGGUUUCCAUGAUUCAUCUUUUCACAGUUAUCGUCACCUAUAUUGGUAGUUAUUGUAUCAAUGUACAGUAAUUUAAGUAUUCAGUCUCGCUAGCAAUUGCUCAAAAUAUUACUAUUCCAUAUGCUGGGUAGUGGUAUUUUUCACUUAAUUGCGGUCUGUCCGAACUAUAGGCUUUUCUGGUUAUUAAAUCCCCCUGAAUGCAAACUAGCAAUUAGAUACUGGGGAAUCCUUGUUACAAUAAAUAUUUUGGUAUAUGUUUUAUUGUCAUAAGAUUCACUGUCUUAACAAGUAAUGCUUCCAAAAAAAUAUAAACUUUGCUUUGAGAAUGCCUAACGUUAUUGCCUACUGUCUUCAGCCACAAAACAUGUAUUAGUUUAUUACCUGCCUUCAAUAAAAGCAAGAUAGUGCUAUAGACUGG